GGCAAAACGUCCGCCCGGGCCCGAGGCGGGCGGAGGCAGCUGUGGUUACGUGCGGGGGGUCGGUGACGCAGUCGCGGGGCGCUGGGACGCGGCUUGCGGAGCCGGCCGGCGGGGGCAGGCCCCAGGCUCCGGCGCGGCGGCGGGACAGCACCUACCUUCCCGGCUUCGGGUCCGGGAGUGCGGGGCGCGGAGCCGCCGGAGCGCUGCCUCCCUCCUUCCUCCUCCCCUUGCCCCCGCCCCGCGGCGCGACACACAAUACUCGCCGGAAGCGGAAGCCUCGCCGAGGCUAGUGUCAGUGGAAGCUGGGGUGUCGGCGGGCGGCCGCGGCCGGGUCUAGCGGUGUCUGCGGAAGGAGGAGGAGGAGGAGGGCUGGCGAUGAGAACCAGCAGGAGGAAUCAAGGGCAAGAAGGGACCCAGAGGGGCAGGUGGCUGAGAUGCUGGUGUCCAGGUGACCCGAGGAAUCCUCUGGAGAUAGAGGCCCGCGCAUGCGCGUGCUCGAGCGCUGAAGCCCAUUGCCCGCAGGGCGCUGGACUGGCGCCCCGGCCGGCGAGGCUGUCUAGUCCAGGCUCCAGGCCCCGGCUCUGACCAGGCGCCACCGCCUCCCGGUGCAGCUGAAAGUCGACGAAGAGGGCGGGGCGAGGGCGGCUUGUGGACUUCCACACUUUUCCUCUCUUCGGGCCAGUCCGGGGAGAGGGUGGCUAGCUGUGGCGGCGGCCAAUUACGUGGCGGACCUGCGGGGCUAAGCUGGCACGUCACUUCCGACUAGUGGAGUUUUUAGCCUUUUAACAUUCAAGGAUUAGAGCUCCCUCUUUGCCCACUAGCAGGGCAUUAGCUGGUGCUGAAGACAGUGGCUGCUUGGCGAGCCUGGAUCUCCAAGUGACCCCCUCAGCAACUCCUGAUGAACAGGACUGAAGCCAAUAUUAAAGCAAGUCAACCAAAGGUUCUCUGGUGUAGACAAGACAGCAAAAGGACAGACUACCUUGUGGAACCUAGCAUUGUUCUCCUUCUGCAGCACUAAGUAACGUUUGUGCUCCGUAAGAUCUUUGCAAACCACACACAAGAAUUGCUGGUCAUCCUGUCAAUAGAUGCUGCUCACAGAACCAAAUUUACUGUGCUGGAUUGUCAUUCAUGGGCUUGAGAGUAGGAGACUGGAGACCAAGGUGGCUAGAAUCCAGUUGGGCCUGACGUCUCCCUGUUGAAAAGGCUCCUUGUGGAACGAACAGCACAUGGCUCCCGUGGUGGAUCAGAUAGUGGCACAGCACCAAAUGAUGCAGGCCUGCCAGGGGCCAGGGCCACAGAAGAUGCUCCCAGGGUCCCCCGUGUACUCCAGACACACUACAGGCCACCUCUCCCAGCAGGUUCCCAGUCAUGGGCCCCAUUGUCAUGACUUUAAAGCACACCUUAACACCUGAGCACAUCUCUUCCUUAACACCUGUGACUUUCUGACAGGUGGAGGAUGUGGUCAGGAAUGGGAAAAGGAUUUGAGAUGGGAAGAGGGAGGGGUUCAGGAUGAAGAGAGAUAAUCUGUGUCACAGAUGCCAGCCCUGCAGUUAGCUCCCACCUAGUCCGUGCACACACAUUCUAAUGCCCUCCCAUUCUUCUACAUGCUGCGGCCAGAGAGGCCUUUCUCAAAGUGGAAGUCUCAUCCUCGCUUCUCUGGUUACGGUGCUGGGCCAUGGAUGACUUACAAGGCUUAGCAGGAACUGUCUGCGUACUCCCCCUUCCUGCCCACUACCUUGUUUCCCUCCAGUCACGAAAGCAAACGUUGGGCAUUAACUGUGUGCCAGGCUUGUCCUAAUCCUUCACAUGUAUUCACUCAAACAAUCCUCACAACAUUCCUAUCACAUCUCCCGUUUCACAGUGAUGGUUCUAAAGCACGCAGUGGGUGAGGAACUUGUCCAGGGUGACACAACUAAGUGGGGGUGGAGAAACAUCAAAUCUAGGUGGUCCAGGUGGUGGCCAGAACCCAUCAGCACCUCACUACAGCUGCCUCCAGUUUCUCCCUGUAGGAAAUACUCUUCUCUGUCAACUCGUGUUGCCCUCUGGGCUCGGUUGACAUGUCAUCUCCGCAUGACAUCCUGAGAUGCUCCCCAACUAGGGUGGGCACCCACUUCCACACUCCAAAUGCCUGUCUAUUUGACCUGUGUAUUGCUGCAUCCCCAUUGCCAGGCAGAUAGCAGGCCCCUAAUAAAUAUGAUUUGAGCAAAUAAAUAUAGUUCUUCAAAAAAUAGGGAGGACUUCUUGCUUCUGAUAAUGGUGGGCUAGGACAUUUGGACCAACCCUCAUGCAGAAAAUAGUCAUUUAUUUUGAUGCAAUAUGCCUGGCUAUGACUAUAGAGAUUUCAAAUAUUUGGAGGGCUAUUAUGUGAAGAAUUAUACUUACUCUUUGUGACACAGAGGUCAGAAAUUGGUCGUUUCCAUAGAGUAUGAGAGACACAGAAUUGUGCUCAUCAUAAGUAUCUUUUUUAAAAACUAGACCUAAUAAGAUGGGCUGCCUUGGUAGGUGGUGAGUUCUCUGUCACGAAAGAGAUUCAGCCACUUGCUCUGAGAAAGCAUGGAGAAUAUCAGCAUUGUAAGGGUCAACCACCUCAUCUCUGAGGCCCCCUCCUCACUUAGGUUGCCAUUGCAGGUGGAACACUGGGCUGAGUGUCAAAGAACCUGGGUUCCACAAGCUGUGCAAUCAUGGCUGGUUGUUUUUGGAUCUCAUUCCUAAUACCUGUUAGUUAAGCUGACCCAUCAAUACUGACCCACUUCACAGAGUUAUGAAGGGAUUAAAUUAGGUAUUACAUAUAAAUCUUUGUUUUGUUUGCUUUUUGUUGUUUUUUGUUUUGCUUUUUUCUUUGCAUUAUGAAAUCCCAAGUCAACUUUUUCCAUUCUUUUAUUUCUUAAAAAAUUGACAUCAUCAUUACAACAACAAAAUAAUUUUUAAAAUGAAAAAAAAAACUCACAACCCCACAACCUAAUACAAUAAUCAUACUUUUUCCCUUUAUUCUCCUUUAUUGUGACCAAGGAUGACUUUGGGCAUUGCUGUAAGGAACUAUUUCGUUUAACACCCCACUACCUGAACAUGAUGCAUACUCAGCCUUUCACCACCCUCCAAGUAGCUACACAUGAUAGGAUAAUAGUAUUGGUGGUGGUUUUAGAGAGUUGGAGAGAAAACUGAAGUUGGAUUUGGGUAAAAGAAAAAAGCCUGGGAAUUAUUUUUUCUCCAUUCUAAAGCCCAUAGAGCAGUGUUAAUUGUUCCCACCCCUCUGCUAUUCUGUCUCCUCAGGUACUGUGUGCAGAAAUGUAAUUGAGAUUCAAGUCAGGGCCUCUGCCCUUUUCCCUCCAGAAACAAAACCAAGAUAAUUUAUCCUGAACACACACGGUGAAAAAAGGAAGGGAAGGGGGAGAAAAAGUCCAGGUCUUACCUGGGAUUCUCUGUCUCCUGCAACAUGAAGGAUUUAGCCUGGGAGGAGGUGGUGAGAACUCUGGGAGAGAAAAAAGAAGGAAAGAAUAGUUUUACCCAUGCUGAAGUUAAACCUUCACCUAGAGAAGCAAAAACAAACCACACUUUUCCAUUUUGUGCCUCCCUUCCUAGAGUUUUAGCCAAAGGUGUAACUAAGUAAUUGGUUUUACCAGGGCAGUCACUCCUCCUAUCCCGAGUCUGUUUGACUUCCUCCCCAUCAUCCUCCUCACCUCUUUUCAGGCAGGGUGGGGAUAGCAGCAGGAGGAGAUUUUGGGAGCCUGGCAACUCCUGCAAGGACCGCAGGACAGCACCUCUGUGGGGAUGCGUGGUGCCCCAUCUGCCGCCCUUCUGAAGAAUGCACUGCCUUCACUUUACUGUGUUAGAGUCCAUCCAGACUGUUCUAUCCAAAGAAUAGUUUCUUUUUCCCCCACAGGCAAUCAGGAAAUGAUUCCUUUCCCGACUGCUUCUGUCUAGUGCCUGGGAAUCUUGAGUCAAUCCCUCAGUAAGUCAGUGACUAGGGGAAUCUCCCCUCUCUGAGCCUCCCAGUUCAUGUUGCUUAGGGAACCUGAUAUUUUCGUGAAACCUGCCUACACAUGGGCAGCCCAACAGCAGAGCAAAUGGUGGUGAACAAAGAAUUAUAGUUGUGCCAGCUUCCUGGUUGCCCAUGUGGACAAGUCAGCAGGAUCAGGACACGAGGAAGAGUAAAUGUGAGACAGUCACGUGACUUCUGCGAUAAACAGAUUUUUAAGCCCCGAAGUUUUGCUAAAAUUUUGGUGAAACCUGAACUUUCUUCGUUGCAUAUACUGGCACUAUCUGUACCAUCAUACAACUAUCUCACAUUAAAGCUAUUUUUCUUGAGCACUGAUGAGUAAGGUUGGUAUGUUUGAGUUCCUCAGAUCAACAAAAACCCAUUUUCCUAUAAGUCUUACAUUUAGUAUUUAAGGAACUAAAACAAAUACAUUUUGUGAAAUGGUUGACACUUCAUUGAUAAUGAUUUAUUGCUUGGAUUAAUAAAUUUUCCAAAAGUUGUCUUAUGUAGAAUAUGGUUUGCAACCAGCAGAACCAUUAAUCUAUACUGCAAUGAUAUGCACUAUGUAUAAUUGUUUAAAAGCCUCUACUUAAUGAUGUAAAAUGCUCUAUUACACAUUUGGGUAAACUGUAUACUAACAUCUGAUGGCAUUUUUCCACUGUUUGUUGCUUUUUUCAGAUACUUUAUUGUACAAAGCUGUUCUUAAUAUUUUUCAAGUUUUUUUCUUUGAAUUUUGCUAAUGUUUUCCUUGAAUUAUGAGCAUUGACAGAAUGUGCUUAGCACUUUUGGCUAUUCACACAGCUUUUGAGCAUGAUUUGCAUCCAGUAUUUACAUUGCUAGCAAUAAUAAGCCAUCUGUGAGUUUUGUCAAAA
rnacentral:antisense_RNA from 1 species